UGCUGAGCUACCAUGAAGAAUGACAGCCGUCGAGACUUCCGGUACUAGUCAUAGGGCGAUAACGAUAAGAGCGCAGUUGCAGAAUUUAUAACAGGAGCCACAAUGGCGGUUGUCGUCUCUUGACAGGGCUGUGGAUGUUAUUAAAUCCACUAUCAUCGCCCUAAAGAUAGGCCUGGUUGAUUCCCAGAGCCAUUAAAAAUAAACUGGAACAAUUACUGCACAUGAAAAUACUAUAAUUUCUGAUCAAUAUCAAAUUAACAAGAGAUAACAAUUAUAUUAAAAGGGACCAUGUAAACAGUACCAACCGGGUCAAGUUUUCAUUUUGUUCGAGAAACAACAUCGGCUGUUAAUGACGGCUAACUGUUUGUUUAUUGAACUCCAAAACCGUAAAUCUAAGGAACAAUAACACCUAAACUAAGCUUGGCACCGGACAAGGGAAUCUAAAAGAAAAGGGACUUAUUUUUUUCUUUCGUUUUUUACCAAACAGCAUGCUAGCUACACAGAGCUAGCUAGCCAAAUAGAAACGGAGAAGAGCGCACAAUGCUCCGAUUUAUUGUUUGGGCCUUUCAGCCAGUUUCUCUAACUAGCUAAAUGCACAGGCCUUCAUUUUAGUGGCGGUUUUUGGCACUAGCAACCUUUAUUUUUCUGAUUUGACAAACCAUGCUGCCGAACGACUUGGAUAAUUCGUGAGGACUAAACCUGGGCAGACUCAUUUAUAUUUGUCGGCUUGCUUUAGAACACUGGAUCUAAUUUUACCGGAUUUCGGAGUACUACUCUCCCGUUAAUGUAUUCUCUCGGCUACAGAGGCCCACGCUCGGGAGAGGUUCCGCCGCUGACGUGAGGGAUGCCUGGGUCGGAUAGACACCAUGGGACCAAGAGGAAGCCGGAAUCCAACAGUAGCGUUGCCCUGCCACCCCAAACAACGAGCGGCAACAGUGGGCUACACCAGCCCCUGGUCCUGCCUCAUACCUCUGCGGGCAACAUGACGAGCAAGGACGGUAACCUCCAGUCAAAGUCGUCAGUGCCAUCUUCUUCCAAGCGCAAACGGCAUAAAUCAGCGAAACAUGGACGUGAGUCCGAGGUGGCUCAGGGCCCUGGUUUUUCUGCGCUCGCCUCCACAGCGCCUCCUUCCGUUAGCGCCGUGAAGCCGCUGGUAGAAUAUGACGACAUAAGUUCCGAUUCGGAUACUUUUUCGGACCCGCCUGCUGAGAGAGGGUCUGGGGAUCGGUUAGAACCUGUCCCAGAUUAUAGUAAAGGGGAUGGGGGCGGGGCUGUUGGUAGAGAUGGUCGGGAACACAAGCACCGUCACUCGCGGAAAAAGUCGAAGGAUCCCAACAAAGUUAGAGACUCUGGGGAAGGGGGUCAGAGUACCAAGAAAAAAAGCAGCAAAGACCGUGAGAGAGGGAGCUCUGGGAAAGUCAAGGAGAAGGUGGCCUCCCUGUCCUCUGUAGCAUCCCUGUCCUCCGGGUCACGCCGUCAGGGUCAGCUGGAGGCUGACUUGGGGCCAAAGCGUGGAGAGUUGCCCCCUUCCUCCCAGGCCCAAACUGCAGCCAGUGUGGGAAGCACCACAUCCUCCUCCUCGUCAUCUCGCAGCAAGGAGGGUGGCCGCUCCGGGAAGUCUCGUAAGGAUAAGCCACAGAAGAGAGAAGGGCUUGAGGGUCGGGGGGAUGCAACCGCCAGCCAGAGCACCUCUGCCUCUCAGAAGGUCCGGACAGAGAGGAGCCAACGCAAGUCCUCAAAGAGCCACAAGUCCAGCCCUAAGGGCAAGGGGCAGCCUUCCUCGAGCAGGGGGAGCCCUCGCCGGAAGGUAACAGCCCCUACACAGUCCCCCAGCCCCCCAAGGAGAGGGGGUAAUGGAAGCCCCAUGGUCGGUAGUUACAGCCAGGAGGUGGACAGCUACCACCACCAGAGACGCAGGCCGGCCCCACAGAGCCCCAGCCCCUACAGGGAGAUGUCCAGGCGGAGCAGGCAGAGGUCGGACAGCCCCUACGCCAGCAGGCAGAGGUCUUCCAGCUAUGAGCGAGACGACAGCCCCUACUCAAGGAGACGCUCCAUCAGUCCCUAUGGUAACCGCAGGUCCUCCAGCGCUAGCCCUGUGUCCCGGCGCUCAGUUCGCUCUCGGAGUCGCUCGCCUCCUUUCUCCUCUUCCCGUCGCUCCUCCUCUCGCUCUCGCAACAAGAAGCAUUCGUCCUCUGCCGGGGGAGGUGGGUCUCACAGCAGCCGGCCCACCAGCCGCUCCCCACCCUCCUCCCGCCUGCCACUCAACUCCAGCCUGGGGGCAGAGCUUAGCCGGAGAAAGAAGGAGCGCCAGGCUGCGGUGGCUGCAGCUCGUCCCCCCUCCCCUCCACCUUCCUCACGCAAGACCAAGGGGUCCACCUCACGCCCCCCUAAAGCUGAGCCUGAGAGAGUACCUGAGAGAGAGACUGUCCAAGCCGCGGACCUCCAGCCUCCACCCAGUGCACCCCAGCCCCGGGACACUCUUGUUGGGGAACAACACGGCUCUGCAUCUUCACCCUUCUCAUCUCCUGCUCCCCCUCUGCCCCCCGGUCAGACGACCCCACUACCUCCACCUCCUCUGCCCUCCACCCCUGUCACCCAACUUCAGCCACCUACACCCCAGGGCCAGACUGAGACCAGCCUCGCACCCUCCACAGCCCUCUCCUCCUCCUCCUCCUCCUCAUUGUCGUCCCCCCAGUCCAAAUCUCCUGCCCCCAUGCCCACUCGCAGCCCUGCCCGCCUGACACCCAUCCACAAGACCUCCACUCUGCCCCCCCUGCCUUUACCACCCAUGCUAGUGGGAGACUGCCAGGACAGUCCGAAGAAGUCCACUCCUCCUCAGAGGUCUUCCAGGAAGGAGAAAGAGGUGCGGAAUCGGCCGUCUCUGAUCGACCUCCCUCUGCCCCCCACGCUGGCCGGAGGAGACCCCUCUCCCCCUCAGUCCCCCGUCUACAGAGCUCCACCUCCGCCCCAGUCCGCUCUCAAGAAGAGACCAAAGUUUUGCUGUCCACGCUAUGGCGAACGCAAACAGACACAGAGCGACUGGGGCAAACGCUGCGUGGACAAGUUUGACAUCAUCGGCAUUAUCGGGGAGGGCACCUACGGCCAGGUGUACAAGGCCAAGGACAAAGACACCGGUGAGCUGGUGGCUCUGAAGAAGGUGCGUCUGGACAAUGAGAAGGAGGGCUUCCCCAUCACGGCCAUCCGAGAGAUCAAGAUCCUCCGCCAGCUCAACCACCGCAGCGUGGUCAACAUGAAGGAGAUCGUCACAGACAAACAGGACGCACUGGACUUCAAGAAGGACAAAGGUGCCUUCUACCUGGUGUUUGAGUACAUGGAUCAUGACCUGAUGGGUCUGCUGGAGUCGGGGCUGUGUCAGUUCUCUCAGGAACAUGUGAGGAGCUUCAUGAGACAGCUGAUGGAGGGGCUGGACUACUGCCACAAGAAGAACUUCCUGCACAGAGACAUCAAGUGCUCCAACAUACUGCUCAACAACAGUGGUCAGAUCAAACUGGCUGACUUUGGUUUGGCCCGCCUCUACAACUCGGAGGAAAGUCGACCCUACACUAAUAAAGUAAUCACGCUAUGGUACCGUCCCCCUGAGCUCCUCCUGGGAGAGGAGAGGUACUCUCCGGCCAUCGACGUCUGGAGCUGCGGGUGUAUUCUGGGAGAACUGUUCACCAAGAAGCCCAUCUUCCAAGCCAAUCAGGAGCUGCUGCAGUUAGAGUUGAUCAGUCGUCUGUGUGGGAGCCCGUGUCCCGCUGCCUGGCCUGACGUCAUCAAGCUGCCCUACUUCAACACCAUGAAGCCCAAGAAACAGUACCGCCGACGGCUGCGCGAGGAGUUUGCCUUUCUGCCUGCUCAGGCCCUGGACCUGCUGGACCGCAUGCUGACCCUUGACCCUGCGCGGCGCUGCACGGCCGAACAGGCCCUCAAUAGUGACUUCCUGUGUAACGUGGAGCCCAGCAAGAUGUCCCCGCCCAAUCUCCCUCACUGGCAGGACUGCCACGAGCUGUGGAGUAAGAAACGGAGGCGCCAGCGUCAGAGCGGGCUGCCCGAGGAUGUGCCUGUGCCCAAAGUGCCCCGUAAGGACCCCUCGGGGGCUUCCAGUGGAGAGAACAGCCGGCCCCAAGCCAGCCCAGCUGGAGCCCCGCCCCCUCCGCCGGGAAGACCACCACCCUCAGCCAUCUCUGCCAAUGAGCUAGCAGGCCUGGGUGCUGCGGCGGAGCAGCUGAACCAGACAGAGCUGGCUGUGCUGUUGAACCUGCUGCAGAGACAGACAGACCUCAGUCUGCCUCAGAUGGCCCAGCUCCUCAACGUCUCCUCCAACCCAGAGAGCCAGCAGCAGCUAGAGACCCUUAGCCAGUCCCUGUCAGCCCUGACCGAGGCCUCCCACCACCGGGGGGCCUCAGAGGACCAGGGUCCGGCUAGGCCCCAGCCCCCUGAACCUCCCCCAGAGCCUCAGGAGCCCUCCCCGCACCACAGCGAGCCACCCCUCAGCCAGGAUGACCAGACCAACCUCCUGGCCCUCCUAUUGGGCCAGCUCAUCAAGCCGCAGGCCGAGGGGGCGGAGCAAGGCGACGAGAGCAAUGGCGUCCAAUCAGAGGAGGCAGUGACUCGCGGUUCGUCAGCCUCCACUGCUGACCGCAAGGGCAAGUCUGGGUUCAGUCUCUAGGGGGAGGGGCAGAGAGCACUGGGUCAGGGGAUCUCACAGGAGACUGGUGGACGAUCUUGUCAAGGUGCGGAUCUUGUCAUCCAAUUAUUUUCCCGCUUACCAUAAAGCCGUUGUAAAUUACUUUAUAAACGAGCUGAUGAGAUGAAAGAUCUUAACUAAAUGGCAAAUCGAAAGAAAGAUUCCACGGUUACUUUAAAUAUUUUUUGAGGAAGUUUUAUGUUGUCUAGACCCACCACCUCUCCCCCCUCCUCUCACCAACAGUUUCACCCCCACCCACCUUUUGUCUGUCUCACCCGUCUCCUACUUCCAAAGGCUACUUUCACCCACUCAGUCACACAUAGGUGGAAACAUACCAUACAUGAAGUUGGCAAGUCCUCAAGAUGUCUGACCAGAGUGGCUUCGGACGGCCCAGGUCACAUGGACUGGGCUUUGGGCACAAGGACUUUUCUCAUUGGUGUGAAUGUAAACUAAGAGAAGACUGUGCAGUCACCAAGCGGAAGCAGCAGAUUGGAACAAAUCAGGUCCCUCCAUCCUCCGAGCGACGUCCCCCCUCUCCGCCUGGCCCUCCACCCUCAGCCCUCCUCUCUCCUGGCCAGCAGCAGCCCAGUUCUGAACCCCAGCCCGGGCCCGGCCAGGACAUCAGCCCGGCGGUGGCAGCCGCCCUGCUGCAGCUCAUCUCCCAACAGGACCCAGAGGCUGGGGCCCCCCAGCGCAGCAGGGACCACUCCCCCUCUGUGGGCACCCCUGUCCGGGGACAGCCACCCCCUGCCUGGAUGACUGACUCCCCUAAACCAUCCCCUGCUAGAGAGCCUCCUACUGGCAUGGAACCCACUGCCUCUGCUAUCCCAGCACAGUUCCCCAAGGACCAGGACCUCCGCUUUGCCCACAGGACCGCUCGCUGAUCCUGGGUGGGCCUGUUUAGAGACCUGGGGUAGAGUGGGCCGACCUACAGGGACAGGAGCCAGGGACUCCUACAGUACUGAUAAUGAUGAUACUAUACACCAAUCUCUCUAGGUGGGAACAGAAGAGCAGCUCACCUGAGCAGGUUGUGUAUAUUGGAAGAUGUGAGGUAGAUUGGCUGUGAGAUUGUUAGUCUGGAGAAAAGAGCAGGUCUUUGGGUCUGGAUAUUUGGAGGAUGUUAUUGUGAAGAUGGCCAGUGUUGGUUUGGCUAAAGGACAAACUAAGCCCCACUCUAGACAGACAGACAGACUGGGGUUGGGCCUUGGUGAGGUUUCUAGACCUGGGGGUGGGACAAAGUUCCACACCCUUAAAUCACUAACACUGCCCCUCCUGGACCUCCUGACUUGCUGAAGAAGUUGGUUCCACACAUGGAAUGUGAUCAGCUGUGAUUUUUCUUUUGUUUAAUUUGCAACUCAAAUGAUUGUUAUGUCUACUGCAGUGCCCUCUAACGACGAGGCUAUCAGUGGGUUUUGGAGUCUGGUGUCCUCACUCCUUUUCAUCUGCGGUUGAAUGGGUGGGGGUUGGUGUCUGCUACGUAUGACACCCUGGUGGAACAAAGAACAAGUCUGAAAUGUAGAGGUGGUUAACUGGGGGGUACAGAUGUGAAACACUGGGACUGCGAGCGAGUCUCAUCAUGCUAGCUGGCUCCUGACGUUCAACCUCGUGCCUCCUUUGUGUCCUUAGCAACCCCUGAAUGAUCUUUGCCCACACGGAAGAGUUGAGUUGUUUCUUCUGUUCUAGAAGGCACAUUAACAAGAGAAGGCAUGGCUCAAAAUAAAUUAGCAUACCUUGUGUGUCCUUGGUCAAAGGUACUGUAAAAUAAGGUAUUUGGGUCUCAGUCCUAUCUCCUCCUGUUGUUUCUAUGUAUGUCAGCCUCAGUUAGCAUUCCCAUGUAGAAAUGAACAUGUUCAUUCUCGAUCGCUCGCGCUCUCUAAUAACAGAUUCGUGUGCCUCUCUUAACCCUCAUACUUCCUCUGCUGCACACUGGCAGAAAACACCAACUCUGACACUGUCAUUAACUGCUCUACUAUACUCACUAGUCUUUCAUUGACCCUCUGUUCACAGCUAGCACGGUCACCCAACCCAUAGUGACUGGACACCUAUAGACUUACACACACACACACACCUCUCCAAAGCUUUCCCUGAUGAUCUCUGAUAGCCUUGUGUUAUCUCUUGCCUCCCUGCCUAACUGUGCAGCAAAUACGUUUUGUGUGAUUAUUUUCUACUUUAAAGACAAAGUUACAUGUUAAAACGAUGGUCCAUGGCUGUGUUUCCUUUGUUUUGUUUUGGGAAGGGAGAAAUUGGGAAGAGAUCUGGCUUUGGGUUUCAUGUGACCAUGUGACUGUAAAAGAUGAUAUUUUGUAAUAUGUGUUUUCUCGGUUCAAUUUAUUAAAGGAAAUCAUGCGACCAGAAAGUU